ensembl:antisense 5031434C07Rik RIKEN cDNA 5031434C07 gene
UAGGAUGUAAUGCCAACUCACGAUAAGAAGAAAUACUAUGGUCCAGAGCCUUCUUAACAUCUCGUGCACUUCAAAGACUCUGCAAUUGGCAGUGAUUCUAAUGUUUCCCUAAGCUUGGUCAAGGUGGUUACAGAGAGACAAACGUCCACAAAUUCUCACAGAUGGAAGUUUUCCACUGGCCUAUUUUGGUAUAAAUAUUCAUCAAGGGCUAGAAAAUUAAACUAGAUAUGGGUCUGAGCUAGAAGCAGUUUGGCCUCAAUUUCAACUUUCAGUCACCCCCUCAGGAGGGCAGGAUCUUCUGAGAUGUGACUGCUGUUGUUUGGAGACCAGGGCCAACUGUCUCCCCAGCCUAUGGAAACCCCUGGUUUGUUCUCAGGGGAACUUUGGCUGGAGAAUGGCGGCUGCUGGAGUUACAGGAAGGUCCCGGUUGGUUCCUUGGAAACCAGAACUAUAUCAAGGUGUGGCUCAUCUGUAUCCUGCAGCGAUUGCUUUGGAAGAUAAGCUUGAGGGAAGAUAAUCUGAGUCUGGUUUAGAGUGCCUCUCACUUUAUCUUUCUUUAGGUCUUAAGACGUCUCUUGGGUACCAUCGAGGGCAGACAUCAAGGUGUCUGUCUCCCUCUACUCCUGCAUCUCACUCCUUUACUGGCUCUGGUUUUGGCUCAUCAAUGUAAAGGCCUAUGAGUCAACAGCACAGCCACAUGGGGCCCCAUGGAUGGAAGAGAAGGGAGUGGCCUUUUUUCUCUCUUCCACAUCUGUAUCAACCAUCCACCCCCAUGUUCUAUUUUCCUUCUUCUCCUCCUCUCAGGAAUAACUGUGUCUGUCUAGAGAUGGAGCAAAGCUGCCCUUCCCUUACCCCAUUCGUCCGCAGCUUUCUCUUACUUCCUGCUUGCUCCACCCACCACACUGCCACGCCCUUCCUGUGCGCUUCCAUAACAGGGAGCGCGCCGAGCAGAAUGAGGCCAGGCAGAGGAUUUCCGUGCAAACAGGAUAUUGUGGUGCAGGAAAUAAAGCAUGCAAGACAACAAUGGCAGAUGUCCCUGGACCACUCUGAAGAUGGGUGAAUGGAGAAGAAGGCCCUCUCUGCAAGUAGGGGUGUGUGCAAGAGAGUUCCGUUUGGAGAACCAGUGGCAGAUCAUUCAGAGGAGGCUGGAUACGGCCAGGUACAUGACUGAAGAGGGACCAUCAGAGAAAUGGUAAUUCUGGACUAAUAAUAGAAGGGAGCUUUCAAAGCUCCAGCAGCAGCUCCUUGAGACAGACUUCUUCUUUAACGUAGCAUCCACCAGGCUGUUACAAGAACGUAGCCUUCAGCCCCACUGUCCCCUGAUCAUCUGUUCACAGACCCAUCUUCCUUAUUCUUAAAUACUGUCUCUUCAAACCUUUAGCAGAACUUCCAAGUAAAAUUUAUACAGCGCUUCCCCACGUUGUUGCCUGGGUGCAUGGUAUACGUGCCCGUGUGUGCCCAUGUGUUUGCCACGGUGUGCAUGUGGAUGUCAGGGGGGCAGCCUUGUGCAUUGAUCUUCACCUUUCACUUUGUUUGGGACAGAGCCUCCUGCUGUUCACUGCUGCAUUUGCUAGACUAGCAAUACCCACCUUCCAAAAGGAUCACAGUGAUUGCAGAUGUGCCUGGCUUUCGAGUUUAAAAAUAUUCAAAAAUCUCAAGUAUUCACUUGAUUACUUUAUAUGUGUAUUCCUUAGGACCACUAUCAGAUAAAAUACAGAAACCCUGCAUUCCAUGAAGUUCCCAUGUGCUCCUUUCUUGGCAAUAACCACGUUUUAGAAAGAUAGCUACUAGUCUGUCUUCUAUCUUUGUAGACUUCUUUCCACUCUGUUCAGAACAUUAUACAGGAGAAAUUCUAUGGUAUUUUAUAAUUUUGCUUCUUCAUUUCUCUAUUCAAAAUGUUUAAGAUGACCCAGGUUUUGCAUACAUUAAAUUAAAAAAAAAACUGCUUAGCUUCUGUUAUCUAAGUAUCCAUUCUCAUGUUGAUGAGGAUUUGAGUUGCCUACAAUCAAGGGCUGUUGUAGAUAAAAAUCAUUCCAUACACGUUUGUCUCAGUGUUUAUGGUGGAUACCCAUGGUCCUUUCUCUUGGACACAUACAUAAGAGUAAAACCUUUAUAGAGUAGAUAGAUAUUAAACCCCACCAGAAGUUACCAGUAGCUUCUAGUUGUAUCAUUUUAUAGUCGUCCCAGCUAUAUCACGUGACUUCUAGUUGCUCCACUUCUUUCCCAGACUUGGUAAUGUCUGCCUUAAUUUCAGCAUUCCACCGAGUAUUCAACACAAUCACAUUAUGCUUUUACUUUGUAUUUCUUUUAGAAAUAAUGAUAUCAACCCCAUCUGCACAUACAAGCUAUUUAGGCCUCUACUUUUGUGAAGUACCUGGUCCAGCCUUUGUUUUUAGGGACUGGAGAUAUGGCUUAGUGAUUUAGAGUACUUGUUGCUAUUGCAGAGGACCCAGGCUCAGUUCUCAGCACCUACAUGGUAACUCCCCAACUAUUUGGAACCCCAGAACCAGGAACUAUGAUGCCCUCUUCUGGUCUUUGCAAGCAUCUGCAUGUGUAUGGCACAACACUGAUGCGCAGCUACCCAUAAACAUGCUUAAGUAAAAUUCUUUUUUAAAGUUGGCCACUAGGAAUCAGAUUGUGGAAGAAAUCUAUAUAUUCUGGAUACAACGUUUUGUCAAAAGCAUCUAUGUGUAGAACACUUGGAAAGCUUUCUCUUUGUAGACUAUCUCUCACCUCUUGGUGGUGUCUUUUAGUGAGAGCAAGGUAAUCUUGACAGACAGCUCUCUCAUUUAUUUAUACAUACUCCCUCCAGAUGAGAAGUCACAGAGGCACUAUCUGGAUCACGAUGUCACUGUUCUAAGCAUUUCAGAUGGCAAUAAACCAUGACCACUCUGC